UUUCUUACGUAUGUACUUGUUAAGCCUUUAAGAGAAAAGUUUACAACUUAAGGAAUUAUAACAAAGAAGUAACACCUAAUAAGUUUACCUUAUUUAGUGGGGAUCAAUCGAGUUUCUGACCUAUCAGCUUUUGAUGUUAGGGUAUUGGCCUAACAUGGCUAUGACGGGUAACGGGGAAUUAGAGUUCGAUUCCGGAAAGGGAGCCUGAGAAAUAACUACCACAUCUAAGGAAGGCAGCAGGCGCGUAAAUUACCCAAUUCUAAAGAAGAAAGGUAGUGACCAGAAAUAACAAUACCAGGCCCUUUCAUGGUUUUGUAAUUGGAAUGAUGGGAAUUUAAAACCUUCCCAAAAUUCAAUUGGAGGGCAAGUCUGGUGCCAGCAGCCGCGGUAAUUCCCGCUCCAAUAACGUAUAUUAAAAUUGUUGCCGUUAAAACGCUCGUAGUUGAAUUUCAAAAAAUCAAUAUUUUAAGUAAUGCUUUUGGUUUAAGAUGCUUAGGCAAUACAACGUAUCUGCUCUUUGCAUUCCUUAUCCAAAAUGUGUUCUUAUUAUAAAAAGGAUUCUUUUUAAAAUCUCCUUUACUUUCUUGUACUGGAGAUUUUGUUACUUUGAGUAAAUUAGAGUGUUCAAAGCAAACAGUUAAAGCAUUUUACUGCGUUUGAAUACUACAGCAUGGAAUAACAAAAUUGAACAAGUCAAAAUUCUGUUCCUUUUUCUUAUUUUGGCU
rnacentral:rRNA from 1 species